GACGAACGCUGGCGGCGUGCUUAACACAUGCAAGUCGAACGGAAAGGCCCUGCUUUUGUGGGGUGCUCGAGUGGCGAACGGAUGAGUAACACGUGAGUAACCUGCCCUUGACUUUGGGAUAACUUCAGGAAACUGGGGCUAAUACCGGAUAGGAGCUCCUGCUGCAUGGUGGGGGUUGGAAAGUUUCGGCGGUUGGGGAUGGACUCGCGGCUUAUCAGCUUGUUGGUGGGGUAGUGGCUUACCAAGGCUUUGACGGGUAGCCGGCCUGAGAGGGUGACCGGCCACAUUGGGACUGAGAUACGGCCCAGACUCCUACGGGAGGCAGCAGUGGGGAAUAUUGCACAAUGGGCGGAAGCCUGAUGCAGCAACGCCGCGUGCGGGAUGACGGCCUUCGGGCUGUAAACCGCUUUCGCCUGUGACGAAGCGUGAGUGACGGUAAUGGGUAAAGAAGCACCGGCUAACUACGUG
rnacentral:rRNA from 1 species